rnacentral:rRNA from 1 species
AGUGAACGCUGGCGGUAGGCCUAACACAUGCAAGUCGAACGGCAGCACAGUAAGAGCUUGCUCUUACGGGUGGCGAGUGGCGGACGGGUGAGGAAUACAUCGGAAUCUACUUUUUCGUGGGGGACAACGUAGGGAAACUUACGCUAAUACCGCAUACGACCUACGGGUGAAAGCAGUGGAUCUUCGGACCUUGCGCGAUUGAUUGAGCCGAUGUCGGAUUAGCUAGUUGGCGGGGUAAAGGCCCACCAAGGCGACGAUCCGUAGCUGGUCUGAGAGGAUGAUCAGCCACACUGGAACUGAGACACGGUCCAGACUCCUACGGGAGGCAGCAGUGGGGAAUAUUGGACAAUGGGCGCAAGCCUGAUCCAGCCAUACCGCGUGGGUGAAGAAGGCCUUCGGGUUGUAAAGCCCUUUUGUUGGGAAAGAAAAGCAGCAGGUUAAUACCCCGCUGUUCUGACGGUACCCAAAGAAUAAGCACCGGCUAACUUCGUG